GAAGCUAUAGUACAGUGGUAGAACAGUUGCCUAUCACACAUGAGGCCCUAGGUUCAAUUCCCAGUACCUGCU
rnacentral:tRNA from 1 species